CGUCGUUGGCGAAUUUGCCGCCAAUUAGGGUUCAUGUGGAGGAGAGUGGCAAGGUUCAAGAGCAAUUUGGGCAGAUGAAUAUUAGUGGUGGUAGUGGCGGUGGGCAAAAGCUGCAACAAGAGGAGGGGUUUGUGGUUAUGUCGUCACCUCAUCCGCCGCCGGUGGUGACAACUGCUGCGACGGUGGGUUUGGUUUCUGGUGAGUACGUAAAUAGGGUGGUUUCUGAUGAUGAGAGAUCGGAUCAUGGCGUGCCUGUUGGUUUCAAAAAAGCACCACCUCCACCUCAGCCGUUGCCGCAGAAGUCAAGCGGCGGUGGGGGCGGCGGCGUUGUUCUUGACUUGCCC
rnacentral:lncRNA from 1 species